UGCAGGCGAUACGGGCAUAACUUGAGUGCUGUAGGGGAGACUGGAAUUCCUGGUGUAGCGGUGGAAUGCGCAGAUAUCAGGAGGAACACCGAUGGCGAAGGCAGGUCUCUGGGCAGUAACUGACGCUGAGGAGCGAAAGCAUGGGGAGCGAACAGGAUUAGAUACCCUGGUAGUCCAUGCGUAAACGGUGGGCGCUAGGUGUGAGGGUCUUCCACGACUUUCGUGCCGUAGCUAACGCAUUAACCGCCCGCCUGGGGAGUACGGCCGCAAGGCUAAACUCAAAGGAAUUGACGGGGGCCCGCACAAGCGGCGGAGCAUGUGGAUUAUUCGAUGCAACGCGAAGAACCUUACCUGGGCUUGACAUAUACAAGAUCGGCGUAGAGAUACGUUUUCCCUUGUGGUUUGUAUACAGGUGGUGCAUGGUUGUCGUCAGCUCGUGUCGUGAGAUGUUGGGUUAAGUCCCGCAACGAGCGCAACCCUUGUCUUAUGUUGCCAGCACGUGAUGGUGGGGGACUCAUGAGAGACUGCCGGGGUUAACUCGGAGGAAGGUGGGAUGACGUCAAAUCAUCAUGCCCUUAUGUCCAGGGCUUCACACAUGCUACAAUGGUCGGUACAACGCGUUGCGAGCCUGUGAGGGUGAGCGAAUCGCUGAAAGCCGGCCUCAGUUCGGAUUGGGGUCUGCAACUCGACCCAUGAAGUCGGAGUCGCUAGUAAUCGCAGAUCAGCAACGCUGCGGUGAAUACGUUCCCGGGCCUUGUACACACCGCCGUCACGUCAUGAAAGUUGGUAACACCCGAAGCCCAUGGCCCAACCAGUUUCUGGGGGGAGUGGUCGAAGGUGGGAUCGGCGAUUGGGACGAAGUCGUAACAAGGUAGCCGUACCGGAAGGUGCGGCUGGAUCACCUCCUU
rnacentral:rRNA from 1 species